CCUACGGGGGGCAGCAGUGAGGAAUAUUGGUCAAUGGACGAGAGUCUGAACCAGCCGAGUAGCGUGAAGGAUGACUGCCCUAUGGGUUGUAAACUUCUUUUAUAUGGGAAUAAAACGUUCCACGUGUGGGAUUUUGUAUGUACCAUAUGAAUAAGGAUCGGCUAACUCCGUGCCAGCAGCCGCGGUAAUACGGAGGAUCCGAGCGUUAUCCGGAUUUAUUGGGUUUAAAGGGAGCGUAGGUGGAUUGUUAAGUCAGUUGUGAAAGUUUGCGGCUCAACCGUAAAAUUGCAGUUGAAACUGGCAGUCUUGAGUACAGUAGAGGUGGGCGGAAUUCGUGGUGUAGCGGUGAAAUGCUUAGAUAUCACGAAGAACUCCGAUUGCGAAGGCAGUUCACUGGACUGCAACUGACACUGAGGCUCGAAAGUGUGGGUAUCAAACAGGAUUAGAUACCCGAGUAGUC
rnacentral:rRNA from 1 species